UACGAAGGUCCCGAGCGUUGUUCGGAAUCACUGGGCGUAAAGGGAGCGUAGGCGGCGUGGUAAGUCAGAUGUGAAAUCCCGGGGCUCAACCCCGGAACUGCAUCCGAUACUGCCGUGCUAGAGGAUUGGAGAGGUAGCUGGAAUUCUUGGUGUAGCAGUGAAAUGCGUAGAGAUCAAGAGGAACACUCGUGGCGAAAGCGAGCUACUGGACAAUAUCUGACGCUGAGGCUCGAAGGCCAGGGUAGCGAAAGGG
rnacentral:rRNA from 1 species